rnacentral:rRNA from 1 species
CCUACGGGGGGCAGCAGUGAGGAAUAUUGGUCAAUGGACGAGAGUCUGAACCAGCCAAGUAGCGUGAAGGAUGACUGCCCUAUGGGUUGUAAACUUCUUUUAUAUGGGAAUAAAAUGUUCCACGUUUGGGAUUUUGUAUGUACCAUAUGAAUAAGGAUCGGCUAACUCCGUGCCAGCAGCCGCGGUAAUACGGAGGAUCCGAGCGUUAUCCGGAUUUAUUGGGUUUAAAGGGAGCGUAGGUGGAUUGUUAAGUAAGUUGUGAAAGUUUGCGGCUCAACCGUAAAAUUGCAGUUGAAACUGGCAGGCUGGAGUGCAGUAGAGGUGGGCGGAAUUCGUGGUGUAGCGGUGAAAUGCUUAGAUAUCACGAAGAACUCCGAUUGCGAAGGCAGCUCACUGGACUGCAACUGACACUGAGGCUCGAAAGUGUGGGUAUCAAACAGGAUUAGAUACCCGAGUAGUC